ACAACGAUGGAGAGUUUGAUCCUGGCUCAGGAUGAACGCUAGCGGCAGGCCUAACACAUGCAAGUCGAGGGGUAACAGGAAAAAGCUUGCUUUUUUGCUGACGACCGGCGCACGGGUGCGGAACGCGUAUGGAACCUGCCCCUAUCUGGGGAAUAGCCUUUAGAAA
rnacentral:rRNA from 1 species